rnacentral:tRNA from 2 species
GUAGACAUAGUUUAAUAAAAACAUUAGAUUGUGAAUCUAACAAUAAAAGAUUAACCCUUUUUAUCUACC